CCUCGCGACGGGAGGAUAUUCCG
rnacentral:rRNA from 1 species